rnacentral:misc_RNA from 1 species
GAUGAAGAACGUAGCGAAGUGCGAUAAGUAAUGUGAAUUGCAGAAUUCCGUGAAUCAUCGAAUCUUUGAACGCAAAUUGCACUUUCUGGUAUUCCGGAGAGUAUGCCUGUUUGAGGGUCAGUGUAAUAAAUAAAUCGUGGUUGUUACCACCUUUCGUGGUGACGCUUCGGAAUUGAGUCGUCUUUACCCUUCGGGUUAAGUGACUUAAAAUUUUUUCAUACGAUUUCGAAACGUAUUUAAUGUAUUAUGUACGUUCACGAAUAUCGAAUGUUUUAUUAGGUGCGGUCAUUUUUCAUGAAUUCGCGUCUAUAAUUUUUUUUUUUUGACCUCAAAUCAGGUAAGAAUACCCGCUGAACUUAAGCAUAUCAAUAAGCGGAGGA